UUACUUACCUCGACGGGGUCAACGGGUGAUCGACAAGGCUCGUGGCCUAGAUCAAUGGCUCACGUUGCACUUGGUGAGAGCGCUUGGUCUACCAUCUCCCUAAGUGGGAAAGUGGGCGUCAUAAUGCGUAAGGCAGGUCACAGUUUGCGUUGUUCGUGA
rfam:Triticum aestivum genome assembly, contig: Triticum_aestivum_CS42_TGACv1_scaffold_434898_5DL